UACGUAGGGGGCAAGCGUUGUCCGGAAUCAUUGGGCGUAAAGAGCGUGUAGGCGGCCCGAUAAGUCCGCUGUGAAAGUCCAGGGCUCAACCCUGGAAUGCCGGUGGAUACUGUCGGGCUCGAAUCCGGAAGAGGUGAGUGGAAUUCCUGGUGUAGCGGUGAAAUGCGCAGAUAUCAGGAGGAACACCAAUGGCGAAGGCAGCUCACUGGGACGGGAUUGACGCUGAGACGCGAAAGCGUGGGGAGCGAACAGG
rnacentral:rRNA from 1 species